rnacentral:rRNA from 1 species
UACGUAGGAGACGAGCGUUGUCCGGAGUUACUGGGCGUAAAGGGUGCGCAGGUGGCGGCGCGCGUGGGGGGUGAAAUCGCCCGGCUCAACUGGGCGGGGUCAGCGGAUACGGUGUGGCUCGAGCAAGCUAGGGGGCAAUGGAAUUCCCGGUGUAGUGGUGGAAUGCGUAGAUAUCGGGAGGAACACCAGUGGCGAAGGCGGUUGCCUGGAGCUUUGCUGACGCUGAUGCGCGAAAGCGUGGGGAGCGAUCCGG